GCCGCUAGUCUAUUUUAGUUGAAAUUGAGUUUUACUUACAAACUAACCAGCUAAUUUGUAAACUAGUCAAGUUUACAUAUAGAAAAAAAUACAUCGAGUUUAAAGACGGUUACAUAUAAUAGUAUUAAAAAUCAGGUAUAAACUAACUUGUGAAGCAAUAAUUCAAUUUACUUAGUACCUACCAAUUUUAAUAAAAAAAUAAAAUGACUAAAAAUUUAUAACUAAAACACAGUUUAAAAACUCGACACACCAAACGUUUUUUGAAACACGACGCGUUUCAACUACAAAGUGGUCAUCCUCAAGUGAGAAUAUACACUGAAAGUUUCAUGUGUUUCAAAUAAACGUUUAGUGUGUCCGAUUUUUAAACUUUGUUUUAAUUAAUUUCCAUGCCAAGAAAAUUCAACAAAAAGGUACAUAUUGCUACAAAGACCCUCAGAAAGUUACGAUAUUUUUUUCAUGUGAUUUAAACUUCAUUGUUUUUUUAUAGAAAAAUAAAUCAAUCGAGUUUU